GACGAACGCUGGCGGCGUGCUUAACACAUGCAAGUCGAACGCUGAAGCUCAGCUUUUGUUGGGUGGAUGAGUGGCGAACGGGUGAGUAACACGUGAGUAACCUGCCCCCUUCUUUGGGAUAACGCCCGGAAACGGGUGCUAAUACUGGAUAUUCACUGGUCUUCGCAUGGGGGUUGGUGGAAAGGGUUUUUCUGGUGGGGGAUGGGCUCGCGGCCUAUCAGCUUGUUGGUGGGGUGAUGGCCUACCAAGGCUUUGACGGGUAGCCGGCCUGAGAGGGUGACCGGUCACAUUGGGACUGAGAUACGGCCCAGACUCCUACGGGAGGCAGCAGUGGGGACUAUUGCACAAUGGGCGCAAGCCUGAUGCCGCGCCGCCGCGUGAGGGAUGGAGGCCUUCGGGUUGUGAACCUCUUUCGCUCAUGGUCAAGCCGCAACAAUGGUUGUGGUGAGGGUAGUGGGUAAAGAAGCGCCGGCUAACUACGUG
rnacentral:rRNA from 1 species